AACUGUGCGCCUAACAACUGUUCGAAAACGAGUUCAUUUUUGCGACAAAGUCAACUUUGUAACCAACUGUAAGCAAUUUCCCGUACAAUGUGGUGAUUUAUAAAGUUAAUGAUUAGUUAAUUAUCCCUAGAAAACCGCAGUGGAAGUGUUUAUAACCGCAACGAACGUUGUUGCCGGACAUGCUAAUCAUUAGCCUAGCUUCUUCCGUAUUUUCUUCUUUUUGCGUCUUCGGAGUCUGCAUGUUGUCGUGCUGCCUCUCAAAGGUGGUGAGUUUGAAUGAGAAUAUGUCCUGCGGCAGCUGAAGUCGGCUCAACUUGACUCAAGUGCUGGUCAUCUUCAGGGGUCGCUGUCUCUGCCUGUCCAUAUAGCUGAGUGGAACUCCCUCAGAGCCACCUCGGACACCUCGAUAAACCUCUCCGGGACCUGGAAACGCAAACCAACCGGCUCAGAGCCUCGCGGACUGCCUGCCUGGCAAAGCGCUCCAUCUGGAUGUAGAAGAACUCUCGGAAGUUGCUGAACCAUUUAAUCAUCUGGGAGGUCACGCAGCGGUUAAACUGGACAGAAAUAACAAGUACAGGUACUUGUGCUGGCUGGAUGGCUUCCAAAACCGUCCAUGAAGUGGGCCUGUCUUUCAAUGACUCCUGGGCUACUCCACUCUCCCAGUCCGCCCCUGCUACUACUACAACAACAAUGUAGUCAGGUCAUGUGCAGUCGAGGCGCGGCCGUCCAGCAGUUUCUCGGCAUGUUCCAGAUAAUGAGCAAUCCUUCGCUUGACUGACUCCCUUCGAGCGGCAUCCGGAUCAUCUGAGAACAAACGAUUCACAGUUAAAAGAACAACAAACUAACCCACAUUCAAUCCAUAUUUAUUUGGGUCUUUGAAAAAAGACCCAGAUAGUGUUAUUGUUUUUUGUUUUUGUUUUUUUUGAAUGGGAUUUCUUCGGCGCGCCGCGCAUCCCAAACCACUUGACCGACCGGUACCAUUCAAGUAUCAACAUGUCCGUAAUUUUUGCGCAACGCAGGGAAUUU